rnacentral:rRNA from 1 species
GACGAACGCUGGCGGCGUGCUUAACACAUGCAAGUCGAACGGAAAGGCCCUGCUUUUGUGGGGUGCUCGAGUGGCGAACGGGUGAGCAACACGUGAGUAACCUGCCCUUGACUUUGGGAUAACUUCAGGAAACUGGGGCUAAUACCGGAUAGGAGCUCCUGCUGCAUGGUGGGGGUUGGAAAGUUUCGGCGGUUGGGGAUGGACUCGCGGCUUAUCAGCUUGUUGGUGGGGUAGUGGCUUACCAAGGUUUUGACGGGUAGCCGGCCUGAGAGGGUGACCGGCCACAUUGGGACUGAGAUACGGCCCAGACUCCUACGGGAGGCAGCAGUGGGGAAUAUUGCACAAUGGGCGGAAGCCUGAUGCAGCAACGCCGCGUGCGGGAUGACGGCCUUCGGGUUGUAAACCGCUUUCGCCUGUGACGAAGCGUGAGUGACGGUAAUGGGUAAAGAAGCACCGGCUAACUACGUG